AGUGAACGCUGGCGGUAGGCCUAACACAUGCAAGUCGAACGGCAGCACAGUAAGAGCUUGCUCUUACGGGUGGCGAGUGGCGGACGGGUGAGGAAUACAUCGGAAUCUACUUUUUCGUGGGGGAUAACGUAGGGAAACUUACGCUAAUACCGCAUACGACCUACGGGUGAAAGCAGGGGAUCUUCGGACCUUGCGCGAUUGAAUGAGCCGAUGUCGGAUUAGCUAGUUGGCGGGGUAAAGGCCCACCAAGGCGACGAUCCGUAGCUGGUCUGAGAGGAGGGUCAGCCACACUGGAACGGAGACAGGGUCCAGACUCCUACGGGAGGCAGCAGUGGGGAAUAUUGGACAAUGGGCGCAAGCCUGAUCCAGCCAUACCGCGUGGGUGAAGAAGGCCUUCGGGUUGUAAAGCCCUUUUGUUGGGAAAGAAAAGCAGCAGGUUAAUACCCCGCUGUUCUGACGGUACCCAAAGAAUAAGCACCGGCUAACUUCGUG
rnacentral:rRNA from 1 species